UUUGUAUGUAAAGGCAUGUUAAAUACACAAAGACAAGUUAUAUGGUCGCCCGCUAAAGCUAAGCAGGGCUGUGCCUGGUCAGUAGCUGGAUGGGAGACCACAUUGGAAAACUUGGUUACUGUUGGAA
rnacentral:rRNA from 1 species